GACGAACGCUGGCGGCGUGCUUAACACAUGCAAGUCGAACGAUGAAGCCGGAGCUUGCUCUGGUGAAUUAGUGGCGAACGGGUGAGUAACACGUGAGUAACCUGCCCUUGACUCUGGAUAACUGCGGGAAACUGUAGCUAAUACCGGAUAAGAACCUCCGAGGCAACCUCCGGGGGUGGAAAGGAAUUCGGGCAAGGAUGGACUCGCGGCCUAUUAGGUAGUUGGGGAGGUAAAGGCCCACCAAGGCGACGACGGGUAGCCGGCCUGAGAGGGUGACCGGCCACACUGGGACUGAGACACGGCCCAGACUCCUACGGGAGGCAGCAGUGGGGAAUAUUGCACAAUGGGCGCAAGCCUGAUGCAGCAACGCUGCGUGAGGGAUGACGGCCUUCGGGUUGUAAACCUCUUUUAGCAGGGAAGAAGCGAAAGUGACGGUACCUGCAGAAAAAGCACCGGCUAACUACGUGCCAGCCGCCGCCGUAA
rnacentral:rRNA from 1 species